GCUACUAUGCCGAAGGGGAAAAGUAAAAAACGCGGCUCCUCUCGUCGAUCCCUGCUCUCACACGCAAGCCUCCUCUCUUCUCUCCCCCCGGCUCGCCGCCACCGCCGCCACCACUCACGACGGCCGAUUCCGGCGAGUACCAGCGGCGGGUGGCAGAUCAACGACCUCCCCACGCCCCGCUCCUUCCUCCCAUCCCUCCUGAUCCGACGGGGGCGGAGGCGGCGCCUCGUCCGACUCCUCCUCCCCGUCCUCAUCCUCCUCAUUCUCUGCCGCCACCGCCUCCUCCUCCAGCGCCCCUCCAGCGGCCGCAGCAACAGCCCCGCCGGCGGCGGCAGGGAGUACAACUUGUUCGGCGUCGUGCCCGUCAGGCCGGCCGCCGGGUACGGGGACGAGGAGGAAGAGGAGGCGAGAGAUUUGUUCGGCUCCGACAACGAGGAGUACUUCAAGACCCCCCGCGUAGCAACUACCUAAUUCCAGCGCGGGAUGCGACAACUCAUCUGGCCGGAGGAGAACAUGGCAGCGGUAUCUCCUGGUGACGGCGGUGGGGCAGGCAAUGCUUCAAGGCGACGGGCUGAGGCGGCGGUGCAGGGAUCCGCUCGGUCUGUUGUUGUUGCUGAGGGCGGAUGGAGCAGCCGGGGCAGGUUCGUCCGUGAUGCCAAGGUAAAUUUCUCUGAAUCUUUCUCCCCCUUGCCCCUGAUCUCUAUCACUCUUUCUCUUUCUGCCCAUCUAUGCAGUAUUGUGUAAGUGUUGUGGUUCCUUUUUUUUAAUAAACCUCUGAUCCUCAAGCGAGCGAGACCAACGGGGAAAGGAACAGGGCGUGGCCUCACAUGGUGGCUUGCCGUCUGCUUCAUUGUUUCAUACCUUUCUCUGUACAAUUUCUUCAGCUUCAGAAACUAUGAACAGGCCUCUACAUCUAUUCUUCAAAUUUUCAGAUCCACCGCUCCUUCUAGCUGUCUACACUGUACCCUGAACCGUUACUGAUAUGCACUUUAAAAAAAGGACAGACCAGUGCAUAGAAGCUCCCACACAAGGUGGGGUCUGGGGAGGGAUUAUAGGAACCUAGUCUUACCCCUGCAAACUGAUAUGCACUUUGUUCAGUUUAUUUUUAGAAGGGAUUUGAGAUGGCGCCCGACAUUAUAGUAAGUACAAGACUGUUGCUGAAUGAGUGGUGUGUGCAACCAGACCUCCGUCCACUUGUUUCAUCGUUUGAACAUUCACCGGUUCUUGAGAAUCUGACGCUUCAAUUGCGUAAGGUACAACUAAGCCUAACUCAUCUGGUUCCUGAACCUCUCCACCAACUUCUUUCAAGGGGAGAUCCUGAAUGUCGGCAUCCUUGGACCUUCGAAAGCAGUUGUAAGCUUAACUCUAGCCUCAUCUCAUUCCACCUUGUGUGUCCUUUAUGAUCUCAGCAGAUGUUAUAAAUAUGAAUGAUUGGUAUCUAUUAGCUUGUACCACAAGUCCACAACUGUAUUGGCUUGUAACACAAGUCCACAACUGUACUGGAUCAGAUUGUGCUCUGGUGCAUUUCAAAUGAUGCAGGUAUGUCGAAAAUCUGGAGCUUUGCAGGCUGCCCAUCCAUAAGGGUUGCCGUGGAAUCCUCGGGUUCCCUCCAGUGCUGCCGCAGAAAAUGAUCUUAUGCUAGAUUGAUUGUUCAAGUAUUUGAUUACUGAUAGGAACAGUCAGCUUAUUUUAUUUUGUAAAAAGACAGGAACAAUAUCCAGUACGAUUGACUUCUUCUGUAACAGCUUCAUUGAGGAGCUCAAAGGUCGUGACUGUGACUGUUCUUAGGCCAAUACUUUCAUUUGUUGUUAUAACAUUUGCAUCAUUCUUCACAAGUUGCGAAAUCAAGCAUGCUAACGGUGGCGAGCGAUUUGAGCGCCAAUGACUCAACAACUGAUUAUCAAUCAGGUUUGUCUAUUUUAUUUUCAUCGGCAAUGCUGCAUCCUUUUUGAGUUGCAAUGAUCAUAUGGUUCAGAUAGACAAUUUAAUCAUUUUUCUUUUCUAUACCAAGUUUAUGCUUCAAUCGAUUAACAAUUAUUUUGAAUCACAAACCUAUUAUUCUUUGGAGUGGCCAAAUGUGUAUCUUUGAAUCUCCAAGUGCCACCGGAGGGCUAUAUAUAUUUCAUUGGUUCAUGGAUCAUUAGGAGGCACAUAAUGGUAGAAAUAAUUAGCUUGCAAGUUCUAUAUUGCCAGAGGAGUCAUAAUUCGUGUAGGGGAGCAAAGCCAUACAUGAUAAGCAAGGGGAACAUGCAACAUACGUAGCCGAGCGUGUCAACACCACAUACAACAGCUAUAUCCAGCAAAUUUUCUUUUGAUUUUGCUUUAUUCUAUUGAUCAGAUUUUCCAAGUCAUUUUUCCUUCGAGGUAUUUAGCAUUGCCAAAUUUAUAUAUUUACCUAAAUUUAAUCUUGACUCGAUUUGCUGUGGUCAAUACAAGCAUGAUGCCUUUUCUUUUCUAUAAAGUGGAUGCAGGGUUAGUUUACUAUGCCGAUCUGAGCGAGCGUCAGGCGCGCAAAGCUCACCGUCCACAUGCCUCCUCUUCGUCUGCAUCCGCAGUGCCAAAUCACUCCCCAUCCGAGCAGCUAUAUCUAAACUUCUUGAUAAUGCAGUAGAUGAGGUUUGCAAUAUCUUCUAACAUCUUCUAUGAACUAGAUAGUGACUAAUUUAAAUUGUGUGAUAAUACUCAAAUGUCUGAAACACGGAGUAUUCUGUUGUAAGCUGAAAAUUUGAAAUUUCACAUUCCUGUUUCUGGAAAUACCAUGCUAUACUGCUAUCUAACACAAUGCUCGGUUGAUCGGUGUUCUAAUAACUUCGUGUAUUAUACUCUGUUGACAAAAACCAUGCUAAACCCUAAAAAACUUGCUAUACUACUAUUGCAUUUAUUUAUUUUGUUGUAUUAAUGUAUUGUAACAGAAAGUAUGUAUCUGCCAAAUGUGCACUGACAAAAGAUGGCAGGAACAAAUGUUUACAGAUCACACGACUACUCCACAAUCUAAAACACUGAGUAUUUUGAAGUUGGUUGUUCAAGCAGACACAAUGUGCACUGACAAAAGAUGGCAGGAACAAUGGUACACAGUCAUGAUAUAAUAACGUUGUAGAUAGAUGGAGACUGAAUUAGUUCACAUUACUUUGAUGUCUAUCGAGCCAAUGGAACAACAAAGGUAGUUCCUUCGCACAAUUUGAAGAAUGUUAUUUCAUAUUGCAUGAUAUGUCUGACUCAUUUCAGUGGGCCUUCAAUUAAUUUGAGGCAUCCUUUCCUAGGAUCUUACCUUGAUAUUCCUGUAUUUUCUCCUAUUCGUCCCAUGCUUUUUUAAGAACUGAAAUAAUUAUAACCAGUGUUACAAAUGUUUGCUGAGGAAAAGUCCUUGCAGAAAAGAAGAACCGGAAGCAGGUUUUCUAUCUUCACCAGUAUUUCCUUGUUUCUAAUUGUUGGCUCUUUCCUAUGGCCUAAGGUUAAGGAUUAAUACUUUUGAUAUCUAAUUUGAGAAAAUAGCUUCAUAGAACGUAAGUAGAAGGUAGACUGUAGCAUUGAUCAUUGAUAUUUUGUACAUAGACAGUUCAACGAACUGCUCUGAAAGGGGAUGUUGAGGGUGACGCCGCCGCCGAGCAAGUCGGCAUCUGUAAAGCUUUGCCGGAGCCAUUCCAGCUCUUUCAGAGCCACAAGGCAAGGAAGCCGAGGAACUAGGACGCCAACAGUGCGGAGCCGUUUGCCAUCGAGAGGACUAGGAUUGCCAUCAGGGACCUCUAAACCAAGCUCAACAUCUCCCUCGCGCCAACAUCCACACCGUGUCCCGGACGGUCGUCGCCGUCUGUGACGGCGAGCUACUGCCGCCGCAUCGUCAGUGCGGAGCCGUUUGCCAUCGAGAGGACUAGGGCUGCCAUCAGGGACCUCUAAACCAAGCUCAACAUCUCCCUCGCGCCAACAUCCACACCAUGUCCCGGAGGUUCGUCGCCGUCUGUGACGGCGAGCUACUGCCGACGCAUCGUCAGCCGCACGGUUAGACGGAGGUAUCGCUGCCAGGGCCGACAUGCGUGUAAUUUCUAUUAAUGUAUCCUAUGUUGCCAAACAGAAACAUGCUCCUAUCGAUGCUAUAUCGUUGUGGGCGUGGCAUUUCAGUUUCUUCCUCAGACGAUGUUCCAAUAUAAUAAGUUCCAUAGAAUUGCAUGUACAUGUCCUGCUAUCUUGAUCCAAAAAGGAAAGUAAAAAAGGGUGUUCAUCUA